GCCUCUUUUCUUUCCCUCUCUCAAUCUCACGAUAAUUCUCUAUGGAAAAGAGAAGAACAACAACAAUCAAAACUCAACUCACUCUCUCGGUUUCUUCAUCUCUCUCGCGGUGCUCUUCUUACGGCAACAAAACUCAGUUCCUCUUUUGAUCUCUCUUCACUCGCUCACGAUGACCUUCAAUGGAAGAGCACAAAGUUCUUCCCCUCAAUCACUCUUUCUGUUCUCGGUGUUCAUCUCUCUUCUUUCUAUUUCGAAUUUGCUUGCGGUGAAUGACCACAACAUAAGCUCUCAAUUCUGCUCAGUCGCUCUCGGUUUCGUGACGAACAACCACAACAACUGAAACCUUCUACCGACCUUGACUCACGGCGGCCGCGGGAGGACGAUCCAGGAAAACUAAAGUUUACGGUAACAGCAAUAUUGAGACUGAGAAUGGAGAUGACUUACCUAUGGCGGGGAGAUUUUCGCCGGAUCAUUGUUGAAGCAAGUUUGUUGAUUGAAAGUGGUAUGAAGAUGAAAGUUGGAUGAUGAGGUGAAGAUAAACAAAUUGCUCUUUGAUGAAGGUGAUGCCAUAACACCUCUUUGGAUAUUAGGGAGGCUUGAAGAUGGACUUCAAGUUGGAAGCUUGAAGAUGAAGAUCUUCAAGUGAGGUAUGAAGAACUACCUCUCCCUUCUUUGUAACUAUGGAACUUUGUAACUUUGGAAAAAAAGAGAGAAGUGAGAAAGCUAGUAGUAUAGUAGCUUUGGUGUGUCUAACUUCAAAGAAAUCACUUCUUAUUUAUAGGCAAAAUUUAGGGAUGUGUUAGGAAUUAAGAAACUUGAUUGGAAUGUUAUGGUCAUUGCAAGAAUAAGAAUAUAUUCUUCAUCAUUGCAAGAAUAAGAAUAUAUUCUUCAUCAUUGCAAGAAUAAGAAUAAGAAUAAGAAUAUAUUCCUUAUGUCAUUAUGCAAAGAUAUUCUCAUGAUAUAAGCCAUGUGUGUAAAUUUUUAUGUCAUUUUAUGAUAUCUCUAAGUUGCAUAAUUUUAUGACAUAAAAAUCUCUCUUUGACAUUCUUUGACUUUUGCUAAUUUCACCCCUCUUAUGUUUUCUUUUUCAUGUGACAUGAGGACCUUUGAAGAAAGAAUGAAGAAAUUUGAACUUGAAGAAUGAAGACUUUGAAGAAUGAAGAAUUCAAGAAAGUCUUUGAAGUUUUUUUUCUUUUUUCUUGUAAUUCAUUCCAACUUGAAAAUGUAUGAACUUUGUAUUCUUGAAAUGAUGUAAUUCUUGAACUUUAGAUAAAGUUCCUUUUGUAAUCCAUGUGUAACUUAGAACUUGUUUUAUGUAAAAGAAUUCCAUUUGGAAAUAUUCUUUUAGAAUCUUGAAUGAAAUUGUAUGGAACUUGAAUA